rnacentral:rRNA from 1 species
GACGAACGCUGGCGGCGUGCUUAACACAUGCAAGUCGAACGGAAAGGCCCUGCUUUUGUGGGGUGCUCGAGUGGCGAACGGGUGAGUAACACGUGAGUAACCUGCCCUUGACUUUGGGAUAACUUCAGGAAACUGGGGCUAAUACCGGAGAGGAGCUCCUGCUGCAUGGUGGGGGUUGGAAAGUUUCGGCGGUUGGGGCUGGACUCGCGGCUUAUCAGCUUGUGGGUGGGGUAGUGGCUUACCAAGGCUUUGACGGGUAGCCGGCCUGAGAGGGUGACCGGCCACAUUGGGACUGCGGUACGGCCCAGACUCCUACGGGAGGCAGCAGUGGGGAAUAUUGCCCAAUGGGCGGAAGCCUGAUGCAGCAACGCCGCGUGCGGGAUGACGGCCUUCGGGUUGUAAACCGCUUUCGCCUGUGACGAAGCGUGAGUGACGGUAAUGGGUAAAGAAGCACCGGCUAACUACGUG